rnacentral:rRNA from 1 species
AACGCUAGCUACAGGCUUAACACAUGCAAGUCGAGGGGCAUCAGGAAGAAAGCUUGCUUUCUUUGCUGGCGACCGGCGCACGGGUGAGUAACACGUAUCCAACCUGCCGAUGACUCGGGGAUAGCCUUUCGAAAGAAAGAUUAAUACCCGAUGGUAUAUCUGAAAGGCAUCUUUCAGCUAUUAAAGAAUUUCGGUCAUUGAUGGGGAUGCGUUCCAUUAGGUUGUUGGCGGGGUAACGGCCCACCAAGCCAUCGAUGGAUAGGGGUUCUGAGAGGAAGGUCCCCCACAUUGGAACUGAGACACGGCCCAAACUCCUACGGGAGGCAGCAGUGAGGAAUAUUGGUCAAUGGACGAGAGUCUGAACCAGCCAAGUAGCGUGAAGGAUGACUGCCCUAUGGGUUGUAAACUUCUUUUAUACGGGAAUAAGGUUAGGCACGUGUGCCUUUUUGUAUGUACCGUAUGAAUAAGGAUCGGCUAACUCCGUGCCAGCAGCCGCGGUAAUACGGAGGAUCCGAGCGUUAUCCGGAUUUAUUGGGUUUAAAGGGAGCGUAGGCGGAUGCUUAAGUCAGUUGUGAAAGUUUGCGGCUCAACCGUAAAAUUGCAGUUGAUACUGGGUGUCUUGAGUACAGUAGAGGCAGGCGGAAUUCGUGGUGUAGCGGUGAAAUGCUUAGAUAUCACGAAGAACUCCGAUUG